rnacentral:rRNA from 1 species
CGGCGUGCCUAAUACAUGCAAGUCGAGCGAAUGGAUUGAGAGCUUGCUCUCAAGAAGUUAGCGGCGGACGGGUGAGUAACACGUGGGUAACCUGCCCAUAAGACUGGGAUAACUCCGGGAAACCGGGGCUAAUACCGGAUAAUAUUUUGAACUGCAUGGUUCGAAAUUGAAAGGCGGCUUCGGCUGUCACUUAUGGAUGGACCCGCGUCGCAUUAGCUAGUUGGUGAGGUAACGGCUCACCAAGGCAACGAUGCGUAGCCGACCUGAGAGGGUGAUCGGCCACACUGGGACUGAGACACGGCCCAGACUCCUACGGGAGGCAGCAGUAGGGAAUCUUCCGCAAUGGACGAAAGUCUGACGGAGCAACGCCGCGUGAGUGAUGAAGGCUUUCGGGUCGUAAAACUCUGUUGUUAGGGAAGAACAAGUGCUAGUUGAAUAAGCUGGCACCUUGACGGUACCUAACCAGAAAGCCACGGCUAACUACGUGCCAGCAGCCGCGGUAAUACGUAGGUGGCAAGCGUUAUCCGGCCUUAUUGGGCGUAAAGCGCGCGCAGGUUGUUUCU